rnacentral:rRNA from 1 species
UACGGAGGGUGCAAGCAUUAAUCGGAUUUAUUGGGCGUAAAGGGCGCGUAGGCGGAGAUGUAAGUCAGAUGUGAAAUCCCGGGGCUCACCCCCGGAACUGCAUUUGAAACUGCAUCCCUAGAGGGUAGGCGGAGAAAAUGGAAUUCCACAAGUAGCGGUGAAAUGCGUAGAUAUGUGGAAGAACACCAGUGGCGAAGGCGGUUUUCUAGCUUACUCCUGACGCUGAGGCGCGAAAGCAAGGGGAUCAAACAGG